rnacentral:rRNA from 1 species
AGUCGAACGGUAACAUUUCUAGCUUGCUAGAAGAUGACGAGUGGCGGACGGGUGAGUAAUGCUUGGGAACUUGCCUUUGCGAGGGGGAUAACAGUUGGAAAGACUGCUAAUACCGCAUAAUGUCUUCGGACCAAACGGGGCUUCGGCUCCGGCGCAAAGAGAGGCCCAAGUGAGAUUAGCUAGUAGGUAAGGUAACGGCUUACCAAGGCGACGAUCUCUAGCUGUUCUGAGAGGAAGAUCAGCCACACUGGGACUGAGACACGGCCCAGACUCCUACGGGAGGCAGCAGUGGGGAAUAUUGCACAAUGGGGGAAACCCUGAUGCAGCCAUGCCGCGUGUGUGAAGAAGGCCUUCGGGUUGUAAAGCACUUUCAGUUGUGAGGAAAAGUUAGUAGUUAAUACCUGCUAGCCGUGACGUUACAACAGAAGAAGCACCGGCUAACUCCGUGCCAGCAGCCGCGGUAAUACGAGGUGCGAGCGUUAAUCGGAAUUACUGGGCGUAAAGCGCACGCAGCGGUUUGUUAAGCUAGAUGUGAAAGCCCCGGGCUCAACCUGGGGUGGUCAUUUGGAACUGGCAGACUAGAGUCUUGGAGAGGGGAGUGGAAUCGUGUAGCGUGAAAUGCGUAGAUAU